rnacentral:tRNA from 1 species
CAGAGAAUAGUUUAUUAAAAUAAUAACUUUGGGAGUUAUAGAUCGGGAACCUCCUGUUCUCUG